rnacentral:tRNA from 1 species
GACGAUGUGACCGAGUGGUUAAGGUGAUGGACUGCUAAUCCAUUGUGCAUUAAAAAACUAAAAACUUAAACUAGAGGUUAAUUUCGAUGUCAUAGUCA